UUGAACGCUGGCGGCAGGCCUAACACAUGCAAGUCGAGCGGAUGAAGGGAGCUUGCUCCUGGAUUCAGCGGCGGACGGGUGAGUAAUGCCUAGGAAUCUGCCUGGUAGUGGGGGAUAACGUCCGGAAACGGGCGCUAAUACCGCAUACGUCCUGAGGGAGAAAGUGGGGGAUCUUCGGACCUCACGCUAUCAGAUGAGCCUAGGUCGGAUUAGCUAGUUGGUGGGGUAAAGGCCUACCAAGGCGACGAUCCGUAACUGGUCUGAGAGGAUGAUCAGUCACACUGGAACUGAGACACGGUCCAGACUCCUGCGGGAGGCAGCAGUGGGGAAUAUUGGACAAAGGGCGAAAGCCUGAUCCAGCCAUGCCGCGUGUGUGAAGAAGGUCUUCGGAUUGUAAAGCACUUUAAGUUGGGAGGAAGGGCAGUAAGUUAAUACCUUGCUGUUUUGACGUUACCAACAGAAUAAGCACCGGCUAACUUCGUG
rnacentral:rRNA from 1 species